rnacentral:rRNA from 1 species
CCUACGGGUGGCAGCAGUCGAGAAUCAUUCACAAUGGGGGAAACCCUGAUGGUGCGACGCCGCGUGGGGGAAUGAAGUUCUUCGGAUUGUAAACCCCUGUCAUGUGGGAGCAAAUUAAAAAGAUAGUACCACAAGAGGAAGAGACGGCUAACUCUGUGCCAGCAGCCGCGGUAAUACAGAGGUCUCAAGCGUUGUUCGGAAUCACUGGGCGUAAAGCGUGCGUAGGCUGUUUCGUAAGUCGUGUGUGAAAGGCGCGGGCUCAACCCGCGGACGGCACAUGAUACUGCGAGACUAGAGUAAGGGAGGGGGAACCGGAAUUCUCGGUGUAGCAGUGAAAUGCGUAGAUAUCGAGAGGAACACUCGUGGCGAAGGCGGGUUCCUGGACAUUAACUGACGCUGAGGCACGAAGGCCAGGGGAGCGAAAGGGAUUAGAUACCCUAGUAGUC